UAAAACGUAAGGGGCUAGCGUUGUCCGGAAUUACUGGGCGUAAAGAGCACGUAGGCGGCCGAGUAAGCGGCAGGUGAAAUCUCGCGGCUCAACCGCGAAAUGGCUUGCCGAACUACUUGGCUCGAGCACGGGAGAGGGCAGUGGAAUUCCUGGUGUAGCGGUGGAAUGCGUAUAUAUCAGGAGGAACACCAGUGGCGAAGGCUGCUGCCUGGAACGUUGCUGACGCUGAGGUGCGAAAGCUAGGGGAGCAAACAGGAUUAGAUACCCUGGUAGUCCUAGCCGUAAACGAUGGACACUAGGUGUUGGAGGCUCGACCCUUCCAGUGCUGUUAAGCUAACGCGUUAAGUGUCCCGCCUGGGGAGUACGGUCGCAAGGCUG
rnacentral:rRNA from 1 species